rnacentral:rRNA from 1 species
UACGGAGGGUGCAAGCGUUAUCCGGAUUUACUGGGUUUAAAGGGUGCGUAGGCGGGAAAAUAAGUCAGUGGUGAAAGCACCGGGCUCAACUCGGUAACUGCCAUUGAUACUGUUUUCUUGAAUGCGAUUGAGGUAAGUCGGAAUGUUGCAUGUAGCGGUGAAAUGCUUAGAUAUGUUACAGAACACCAAUUGUGAAGACAGCUUACUAAGUCGUGAUUGACGCUGAGGCACGAAAGCGUGGGGAGCAACAGG